rnacentral:rRNA from 1 species
AGUGAACGCUGGCGGUAGGCCUAACACAUGCAAGUCGAACGGCAGCACAGUAAGAGCUUGCUCUUAUGGGUGGCGAGUGGCGGACGGGUGAGGAAUACAUCGGAAUCUACUUUUUCGUGGGGGAUAACGUAGGGAAACUUACGCUAAUACCGCAUACGACCUUCGGGUGAAAGCAGGGGACCUUCGGGCCUUGCGCGAUUGAAUGAGCCGAUGUCGGAUUAGCUAGUUGGCGGGGUAAAG